rnacentral:hammerhead_ribozyme from 1 species
AUUCAUCUGACAAGUCUGAAACAGGAGGAAACACGUGUCAAACUGGAU